UACGUAGGGUGCAAGCGUUAAUCGGAAUUACUGGGCGUAAAGCGUGCGCAGGCGGUUCGCUAAGACAGAUGUGAAAUCCCCGGGCUUAACCUGGGAACUGCGUUUGUGACUGGCGGGCUAGAGUAUGGCAGAGGGGGGUAGAAUUCCACGUGUAGCAGUGAAAUGCGUAGAGAUGUGGAGGAAUACCGAUGGCGAAGGCAGCCCCCUGGGCCAAUACUGACGCUCAUGCACGAAAGCGUGGGGAGCAAACAGG
rnacentral:rRNA from 1 species